rnacentral:rRNA from 1 species
UGGGGAAUUUUGGACAAUGGGCGCAAGCCUGAUCCAGCCAUGCCGCGUGCGGGAAGAAGGCCUUCGGGUUGUAAACCGCUUUUGUCAGGGAAGAAAUCUUCUGAGUUAAUACCUCGGGAGGAUGACGGUACCUGAAGAAUAAGCACCGGCUAACUACGUGCCAGCAGCCGCGGUAAUACGUAGGGUGCAAGCGUUAAUCGGAAUUACUGGGCGUAAAGCGUGCGCAGGCGGUUUUGUAAGACAGAGGUGAAAUCCCCGGGCUCAACCUGGGAACUGCCUUUGUGACUGCAAGGCUUGAGUGCGGCAGAGGGGGGAUGGAAUUCCGCGUGUAGCAGUGAAAUGCGUAGAUAUGCGGAGGAACACCGAUGGCGAAGGCAAUCCCCUGGGCCUGCACUGACGCUCAUGCACGAAAGCGUGGGGAGCAAACAGGAUUAGAUACCCUGGUAGUCCACGCCCUAAAACGAUGUCAACUGGUUGUUGGGAAGGUUCCUUCUCAGUAACGUAGCUAACGCGUGAAGUUGACCGCCUGGGGAGUACGGCCGCAAGGUUGAAACUUAAAUGAAUUGACGGGGGU